GACAUGACUCUUGGCAAUGGAUAUCUCGGCUCUCGCAUCGAUGAAGAGCGCAGCGAAAUGCGAUACGUGGUGCGAAUUGCAGAAUCCCGCGAACCAUCGAGUCUUUGAACGCAAGUUGCGCCCGAGGCCAAACGGCUGAGGGCACGUCUGCCUGGGCGUCAAGC
rnacentral:rRNA from 1 species